CCACACUGGGCUGGGCUGGAUUUAAAAGCUAAAGGGAAGCCCUCAGAGCAACAGGAAGCACACAUUUCCCUGAUGAUAAAGUGCACAUCACCCUCUAGGUCCUGGGUUGUUCAUUGCAUUGACUUCCACAAGGAUCCUUGAAACCAGCCGGACAAGAUGGGGUACCGCCUAAUCAUGAAGGAGGAAUUACAGCAUGACAGCCCUCAGUAAGAGCAGCUCACUCUGGCAUUGGUAGCUUGAAAAAGUCGCUACUCUGGCUGUCCGCUCUGUCUCUGUCCCUUGUGAAGAAGCCACGACCCAGCUCUUGGGAGUGAGAGCCGGGCUCUUCUCCCUGCGUGCAACGCUGAAGGAAUCCAAGAAGUUCAACGGCCAGCGCGUCUCUAGUUUCUAGAAAGUCACACUUUCUUCAGAUGCGAGUUGUCCAGCUUUGUCCCUGGCUGUCAUAGCGCUGCGAGCUGUUUAAAGCUUCUUUCUAGGUUCUCAGAAAUAGCAGAAUCUGUCAUUGGAAUAGAGAGACAGAGAAGCAACCUCUCAUUUGACUGAUGAGAUUUUGAGCUCUGGCCAGCCUCUGGGUGUGAUUCCGGAACAAUGCGGACCUUGGCUCUGUGGAUGUUCCCUCUACUUUGCAAAUUCAGCC